rnacentral:lncRNA from 1 species
CACUGAUGGAUGCCUGGGCUGCUCCCAGCUUCUGGCCAUUGUGAAUGAAAUGGCAGCUGCCUCUGUGGACGUGUGCCAAGCACGCGCUCCCACCUCUCUUGGGCACCCUGAGCCAAGCACUGCAGCUCUGCUUGCCCUGAAGCCUCUGGUCAACAGCCCAGCACACAGCUGCAGAGUGUCCUGGCUCUCGCGAAGUUGACAGGGCCACCUCACCAUUUACCCUGCCCACCGUGCUUGAGAAACACAACACUGAGUUCCACAAAGCCAUUCUGGGGUCUUAGGUCUACAGAUAGCUUUUGGUAAAUUCAACAGUUUUAUGAGAGUAACUCUUCCUGUAUUUGAACAGGACUUGUGGUUCAGGUCUUUUAGAAUGCUUUUCAUCAGCAAAGUUCCAUAGUUUUUCAUGAUAGGUCCUAUACAACUUUUGUUAGAUCUGUCCAAGAAUACCGCAGAACUUUUGGCGCUAUUAUAAAUCCUGGCUUUAUGUAAACUACUGUUUCUAAUUAUAGAUGGUUAGAGAAAAAUGAGGAAGUUCUGUACUGAUCUCACACAGCCAGCCCUUGCUAGAUCCCUGUUUACAUUUACUAUGCAGACAACUGGGCCACCCAUGGAGGUGAGUUUUAUUUCCUUUUCUCCACUCCCUCUGCCUCCCAUUCUCCUUCCUGUUUGACUGUAUGCAUGCUUCACACCUGCCCAUGGCAGGCAGCGGCUCCUGACAGAAUGCUCCGGCCACUUCUCCUCUGAGUGAAUCACUUUAUCAAGUUAGAGUCUUUCCUUACUCUUCAGUAUUGCAGUCUAUUGCCAGUUUACCAAUUUCCUUAUUAUAGUAGCGUCCCAACUUACAAACAUUCAAGUUGUGAACUUUCACAGAUACGAACGGACCGCGGAUUAGGAACACUGGCAGAUGUGAACAAAUCGUGGAAGUGCUGUACCACCAUUCUAAGGCAGGAAAACACCUUUGUGACGUGGCAGUAUGCAGCUUCCCGUGGAGAGGACUCAUGGCUACUACUCGAUGGCUCUAGCAGUUUCCCACCACUCAGCCUUGUUAUUUUCCCUUGGGUUGAUUUAUUUUGUAC